GCGUCCCUUUCGACGUUUCGACUAAAACAGUUUGCCGGGGAGAGUGUAGAACUGCCGCCGCUGUCGUAGUAAUCGAAACGACGGCCUCCUCCUCGCCGGCCUCCGUCACGAUGCCGAUUAGCUCGACGAUCCUCGUCGCGGCCACCACGAUCUUCGUCCUCCUCACCGCGAUACCACGUGUUUGCAGAACGCAUAAAGGAAGGAAAUGUACUUGAUUGAAAUAUUGUGCAUGUGAACGUGCAGGUGACACACCACACAUGAUUCGAAAACGAGACUGUGAGAGUUCACUUAUUGGAAGUUUGAAGGAGUCAAACGAGUCGAACGCAGACGGAGAUUGGUAAUAAUCAGCCAUCGGCCGAAACUUUUUCACCACUUGUCAUGGUAUCGCAAUGAUGGCUCCCUGUUCGGGAAAUUGUUGGGAGUACGUCGUUAUCGUUAUUCGCGGUGGAGUUUUCGUGCCGCGAUAUCGGAAGCACGUGGAUACCGAAAAUAACUGUCCGACAUAUUCAAGAAUGCACAUAUGUUCCUACAUAUCAGUGUACAGCGCGCUACAAAAUUUCCGCCUUCCUCCGUUUCCUUUUCGGAUAUUCAAAUGACUUCUCUUUUAUUAUGUUUUAUCGCAAAUUUCCACUUCCGUCUCGACAUUAAGGGGAUAUGUACGAUCGAAUGUCUAACGAAAACAUUUAACGAUGCAAUUUAUGUACAUCUAUUUACGUGCGGACAAAUAAUCUAUUUACAUUCAGGUCCGAGUAUCGUAAUAUAUUGAUAUUCGUGUUACGUUACACGCUUAAUUGGACCUCGAGAACGCGCCAGAUAAUGUAUAAACGACGGUAAUCCAAUGAAGCGCAGCAAAAUGCAUGACGUAAUUAUUACAUGCAAUUUGAAAAUCUCCAUUCAAACGUUUCAAUUUUCGUGCGACGAAUUAGCUUAGUUUCUCCAUCUGCGACGAUUACCAGACAACGUUUUAAAUUGUCUAUUCACGUCGUAAGAUCGACCGUUCAUCUGAUUGCUCUGACUUCUCUAAUGUUUACGUCGCAUCUGUUUGAAGAAAUUCGCAUGCCUAUAAAAUAGACUCCAUUUAUAUUACCGAUUCUUUCUUAUAGGUUUCUCCAUGUGCAAAAUUAUUGUCAGGGGUGAGUAAGUAUCCUUCAGCACCAAACCUUUCCCCUCAAAAGCCUGUUUCUCCGGUCAACGACAAAUCCGCGACUUCUAUCGAGUCGGUUUGGUUCAACGGUAAUUCGAGGAGUCCGAUUCGUUCGGUCAAGUCGAUGAUACUGCGUGAAAAGUUAAGCGAAACGGCUCUUUGCAAUGACUUGUACAUUCUUUUCAACGUUAUUCUAAUUGUUCUAACGUCCGGUUACUGCGCGAUCGCCUUUCCCCGGUGUGCCGUUUGUCGCAUCUUCCCUCGAUAAUUGUGUAAUCGACCGGGAACUAAGUGAUAGACCAAAGCCAUUGCUGAUCCGGAUAUUCCAGGGUUCGCUUUCAGAAAAUAACGUAUUCGCACCGAGGAGGGCUCCGCGCCUCUCUCGAAUCGUAUCUCACCGUGGAGACCACCGGAGGAUAUGUAAGCGGCGAGCCUAAUCGAACUCGCGAUAGUCCCUGCACAGAACGUCCUACUGUAUUCAAUAAUUCUUCAAUUAAGGUUUCUGGAUACUCGCUAUGGCUGUCCUUCUUUGAUGACGUCAGAAGCGAGGAAAAUCAUGUAUAAUUAAAAUUAAUAUUUCUCGAUUAUUAUUCUCGCAUAUAUUAUAUUUUUAUCUGGACAUUUGGAUGUUUCAUGAUUUGGUUAAAACCAAUUCACAUAUCAGAUUAACUUUUGUUGUUUCUAAAUAAUUCGACAUGGUUAACUUUCAUUUUUUGUUGCAUUUCCAAAGAUGCUGUACAAUGUAUUUACAGGGGUACUGGAAGAGGAAAAGGCUCAAUUUUUUAUAUCAACUUAUUCUAAUAUCUACUAAUACAUAGGAAAUUAAGCAAAUUGUUUGACCUUGUUUAGUGUUUAUACUUUUUAUUGCAUUUUAGUAGAGAGAAAUUUAAAAGAGAAAUUCUUGCUUGUUAUAUUUUUCCUUCAGUAUUUUGGCACAAUCUUUCGAUAGACCUCGAAAAUUGCGAAUUAUCAUUUCAUUGUAUUUUUCAGUCUUCAUUGUUUACAAUGAUUAUCACACUCGCUCAAGUGUCAAGUCGAUAAAAUACGGUACAACAGCCUCAAAUCAGAUCGUUAGAUGGUGGUAGUAAUGCGAGAUCGUGGAAAAAAAAGUCGCGGCAGCACUUCGAGCAAAUUUUGAUUGCGUUCCAUUUGUCAAUCGUAUUAUAUGUAUAGCUUCAAAAAAUGCAUCUUCUUAUAUUUAUAGAAAAAAUAUUGUCUAACAGCAGUAGUAUCAUACUUUAUGAUUUCUUAUUAUAAAUAUUUUACAUAUACAAAGUUUUCUCUAGUUUUCAUGGCAAAGUCACUUUCCUAAAAUUUUACUAUCGAUAAUAUACAUUAUUAAUUACUUGUUUAUGUAAAUGUUGUUCUAUACUAUAUAAGACAUAAACCUCAAUUUUUUGCGUUUUCUCGUUUUUGACGUCAUUAAAUUUAAAAGGACAGUCAGCGAUUACUCCAGAGCCUUAAAAUACUUUCUGUUAUUAAGUACUUAACAACGGUGAAAAGAAAAGAAUUACAUACCUUUUAAAUGUCUGUUGCUGGCUGCUCACCGAGACACGUACGAAAUUAAUUGAUAUAACAAUUAAUAGGUAAAUCUUACAUAUAGAGAAAUACUUUUAUAUUUGCUUCACUUUUUAUUCUCCUCAAUAAUAUAAAAUUACAUACGUUAAUAACACGAGAUGAAUAUGUUACAAUAUUUCACAACGUAACGCGUGUUCAACGCGAUUAUGGGUUACGAUUUGGAAGCUGUUGGGAGAGACAUUGUCUUGCUCUCGUUUAAACGCGUAAUUCCAUCAAGUCGGUGACGAUCCCGAUGACGAUAGCGAGCGAAAGUAUAUCUGUACAACGAGACGCAUUUUGAUUUCGUAACAGUUGACCACUGUGCAAAGACAGAAUUGCUAGAAUUCGACUGUCUCAGCGGAGACUCGAUUUCGCGUUAUUCGCUUCCGCGUAAGAUUCGAAGACUUGAAAGCUUGAAAUACGAACGAGAAGAAAGAAGAAAUUUGAAGCUGGCGGCAGAAAGAGAAAAAAGAAAACCAGUUGCGCACAUUUUGUCGCCUGACCGGUGUAAAUUAGAUAUACCUGCAUAAAUAAUAGUACGGAGAAACUAUAUUACAAAAAUAUACAGCGUCGCUGAUUCGACGCCACCUGCAUCCACAUU